UCAACUUUUUCACCCUCCCUCCCAAUUUUUUCACGCUCCCUCACUUUUUUUUUUCAGACUCCCUCUUAUUCCUCUCAAUCAAUACCUUCUCCUAUUUUCUUUGGUCAGAAUUGAUACAUUUCUCUGGAACUCCCCCUCUCCUCUUUCUCUGCCCUCUCAGUCUCUCUCCUUUCAAACUCCUUUUUUGUAUUGCUCUCUCAGUUUCUCUGCGUCAAUCUCUCUCCUCCUCCUCGUCAUCGUCCUCUCUCUCUCUCUCUCUCUCUCUCCUCCCUUUCCCUACCACAAUUCGAAAAUCAAGGUCCAAAAGCCCUAUUUACUGCUCUCAUUUGAUAUCUCUUUCAUUUUCCUCUUCGUUGUGUCCCUCGCUUUUCAUGGUGGUGGAGGAAAAGGUAGUAAUCUGGCAAAGUCAUACUGGUGCUCAAAGAUUGGAUUUUUACGGCUACCCAUCUGGCCUUGUUUAAAAUUGUAAUUGGCUUUGAGAUUGGACAAAGGUUGGCUUUCGUGAUUCUGUGAAGCUUGUUUUCCCCCUCCAAUUUGCAUUGCAAAAUUAUUAAGAUGAGAAAAAAUGUUUGAGUUUAUUGUUUUUAAGAUUGAAGUUCGUUAAUUAUGUUUAUUUUGACUUUUCUUUUGAUCACUAAAGGGUAUUUGUGUUUCUUCUGCACAAACAACAGGCGAGGAAAAGAGAAAAGAUGGCAAAGCUCAAGGAGGAAAUCGCCGUCCAAAAAGCCAAAGGAACUUAUAGCAAUUUUACAUUUAUUUUUUAUUUUUUAAAAAUUAUAAAUUUUACAAGUAAUGCAAUAAAAUAAUAGAAAAAUGACACAAGUUAGAAUCUCAAGGCUACAACGUCAGUUGUUUGCCACCAAAAAAUGUUUCGUAAAAGCUUUAAAAGGAUUCAUUAGAGCUUCAACAUUGCUUCAUUUACUAUUCAAUAAAACUUCAUAAUAUUAUUUUUA